rnacentral:lncRNA from 1 species
CCGGAUAAAGGACUUAAUGGUCCUUGCAAAAAUCUUAAUGAGUGGGGCUGAUUUCUAUGCAUAUAGAUUUUAGUUUAUGUCUCUAUGAAUGAAAGUGCAAAAUCACCAAAUACAAGAUAAAUAAUUAAUACUACCUCAUUACAUUAUUUUAGAUGUAACAUGCGUCUAUCUCUCUCAUAACCUGAUGAGAAAAUAGAAAAACGAUGCGAGAGAGAGACGCCCUUUUAUUUAAG